rnacentral:rRNA from 1 species
UGAAGUAGGGGCAGAGGGCGGGGGAAAGACGGUGGUGGAAAGUGUUGUCGGGGAUGAGGUGGGUGAAAGGGACUGAGUGGUGUUGCUGAGGGCUGAUGUGAAAGGCUACGCGUGAACCGGAGUAGGGCACCGGAAACGAGGGGACUUGAGUUCGGAAGAGGACAGGGGAACUCCGUGUGUAGCGGUGAAAUGCGUAGAUAUAGGGAAGAACACCAGUGGCGAAGGCGGCUAUCUUGGCUGAAACUGACGCUGAGGCGCGAAAGCAUGGGGAGCGAACAGGAUUAGAUACCCCGGUAGUC